rnacentral:lncRNA from 1 species
AGCCUUUUUUUAUUGUUUCCAUCCCACACAUCAACAUAACCAUCACAACCUCAAGUAGCAAAUGUACCAUAGCUACAAAUCAAAAUCAGUUUUGAGACAGAUUUUGGCAAAAAGCUCAAGGUAUUCAAUCAAUAGAUAAUUGUAAUAGAUCCAACUCAAUCACUCAAUAUAUCUAGAGUUGAUAAAUCAAGCACAUAGGCUUAUAAAUCAUUCAUGGAUACAUUGACAUUAUAAAUCAUUCUCUUUUGUUUGUUCCAUUCCAACUCAAUCAUUGACAUAGCUACCUUAAGAAUACAUGGAUCGGCUCCACUUAUCAAGUUCAAAAAAACAGAUGUUUCCUAAAGACGCAUAGUUAUGAUGAGAAGCUUGAAGGUCGUGAUUGCCUGGGGAAUAUCUAGAGUUGAAAAUUGGAAAUCAGGAAAGAUAAAUUCAGGUUCGAUCGCUUAUUCGUAAGCUGUUAAAGUUUUGAACUGUCCCCAUAAUUGAUUGUUUUUGCCUUGUUUCUGCAAUUAUCUCUCAUAUUUGUUUACAGUAAGCACCAUCACAUCAAGUAAAGAACACUUCUCUUGCACCCUAUAUCAAUCUAACAUGAUUCCAUCUGGUACUGAGACUACCAAAACCCAAGCUCGUAGCCCAAAGAACCUACAACACUUUGUUCACCAUAGCUGAAGACAUACUUGGAACAACUAAGGUACCAUAUACUUUCUUUUUUUUUUCAGUGCAUAGGCAGACACAAACAUAUAUAGUUAUAAUAAAUCACACACACCUCAAACAAAAAAGAAAUGAAUUCUUUCAUAUCUUGAUAAACACUUCAAAUGUAUACUAAUCCUAUGAACAACCAAGUAAAAUGACAUUGAUAUGGUAUGAAGAGACAUACACAUCAGCUUGCAUGUACACUUCAGAACCAAGAUUGAUCAAUGUCCUCAGACUGGUUACACUAUUUUCUCCAAUGUCUCUAUAUUUCUUUUCCAAUCAGAGCUACAAGAAGUUAAGAGAAAAAAAAAGUAAAGAAGCAUUGCAGGUCAAAGGGAACUUGUGCAAAGAAAUAGGAGUCAGAGCAAUAAAGGUGAGUAGUAUCAAUACCCAAAUGCAAGAAAACUUAGAAGGAUACAAAACUUUCUGUUGUUCAAAUACCUCGUUCCUGCAAAAGAGAUACCCAGAAUAUUAGAAAUUUGGCAUAUAACAGAAAUUCCGUCUCCAAAUUCGCAACUUAAUAGUGAAAUAUUAAACAUAAAGUAGGUAAGUACUCCAACUCAUAUAAUCCCACUACUGAUGGUAAUAAGCUCAAUAAAGUGGUAACAGGGGAUGGUUCUCCAAAUAACAACUGUAAGCGGGUGAGUUCAGUAUGAGGCAACCAACGGAUUCCCACCCACACCUCCCCGUCUCAAGAAAAUAGAAAAGGGCAAAAAAGGGCGAAAAAAAAUAGAAGGAAAAGAAAAAAGAAAGAAAAGGAAAUGAAUAUUGGCAAUAUGGGAGUCAAAUGAAGCAAAGUCUAAUCUAUUUAUACACAAAAAAGGAUCACUCUCUUCCAGUUUCAGAUCGUUAGUUUUCACUACUACAGGAAGUUCAGCUACCGCCCGCUAGAAGCAAAAAAAAAAAAAUUUUAAAGACAUCGAGUGAGAGAAUUGGGCUCCAAAACACCCUUCCGUACAAUGAUACAAAGAUGGAAAAAGGACAAAAGAAAAUGAAGAAAGUUACGGGUAAUAACCAGAAAUUAGCUAAUUCAAAGUCCUCCCAAACUGUUCAAUAUAUUUCUUAUCUGCAUUGGCUAGGCGAUCUUGAAACUGCACCCACUCACUUCUGCACCUCUCUCUUACCUACCAAAUUAGAUAGAAAAGAAUUCAAGCUAGUUACUUGACGUUUGGACAAAUCUAAUGAAAUUCAGUUCAAUGCAAAAUCAUGCAAUUCAAACAGAGUGCAGAUAUAAGACCUAUGAAUCCUAAUUUAAACAUGAUUGUUAGAAUGUAGGUGAUAUAGAAUAACUCAGAUUACCAUAAAAUUGGAUGAAGAAGCUUUCAGAGUUGACUUUUGCAAAAAAAACGAAGGACAAAGAAAAGGCCUCAAUAAAAAAAUAUACAGAAAGGUUGAAAUGGAAACCGAACAAGUAACAGCUUACAUACCCCUUGCCAAGGAGCUUUUCCAUUUUCAGAUUGACCCUGGAAUCAACGAAGCUGAAGCUGUUAGCAUCAUUAUCAACAAAACAAAUCUAAAUGAGGGGAAACCAGAUCAAGGGACAAGUAGGAUAAUUGACGUGGAAGAAAAAAAUGUAAAUAAGGGGGUUGCUGCUAAAAAGUUGCUUAUUUUAUAAAUGAAGAACCAUUUGCUCAAAAAUGGAAAUUAAAGUUGAACAGAACAACAUUUGCAAACAACUAAACUUCAUUAUUUUAAUCACCUCUAGGAAAAGGAAAAGCAAGUCCCGAUGGUUGUAAUAAAGUAGUUAACUGACCUGACUUCCCAGAGAAGGAAUAACUUGAUGAACUAUCCACUGAGAGUCAACCACAUCAAUUUUCUCAUGUGCAGGCUACACAGGCAAAAUACACUUACAAUGAAACUGAUAAUACGCAGACAUCCAUUUGAAAUACAUACAUGUUUUCCAAUUUUAUCUGUUUUACAUGCCACUGUCCCGCAGAUCUCUCCUUCCAACAGGAAUAUGAAAAGCAGGUAGACAAGCCUUCUUUUCUAAAUCUUUCAAAUAAUACAGUGAUAAGAAACAAAUAAAACCACUGACCUCCACACAUCUCCUUAGUGCAAAAUCCAAUCCCCAACCAUGCACCAAAUCAUUCUAGAAAUGUUAUUGAAAGUAAAAAAUCAGCGUGAGCUCUAAGCUGGAAAGAACCAAGGCUAAUGAGAGCAGCUAAAAGCAAAAAUAGUUGGAGGUACAACAAGGCUUAAAACAUACGUAUACAAAUGACAAAGUUAGAGAAGGGAACCUGAAUCAUAUGCCAAACACAUCGCCAAGCAUCCCGCGAGAAAACAGGAGCCACAAUUUCCACAAAGCUGAAUUCAAAAAGGAAAAACACAAGGAAAAUUAGUUGAAGGUAAAUGUUGAAGCCACCCCAAUCCUUUAUACUUUUCUUAACUAUAUAUCUCCAUUUUAAGGGCCUGAGCAUAAAUCAUGGGUCAUAACUCAACCUACAAACACUACCAUAAAAUCAAAUUUUUCAACAAUAAGACGUGAUAUUGCUAUGAGAUGUCUUGUAGCUAAGCUCUUCUUUUUGGCAAUGGUCAACCUGAUGAAGAAAUAUGACCAUCAGAGAAAGUGAGCUUCUUGUUUCUGGCAAUUUCAACUUUCAAGCCAUGUAAAUAAACAAUAGUUUCCCAAGACAACAUUUUUGUUGUUUUUCAGUUUAAUAUUAUUAUUUUCUUGGGUUAAAGAGAUUGACCUUCGGAAAACCAAACAAUCAAUCUCUGGAAAAUUUAAAUCUUUGGAAAACCAAACAAUCACUCGGAAGAGAAAAAAACAAAUCCUUUUCAGGUUUGGAUUAUAAGAAAAUAAAAACAAGAAAAACAAACUGCAUGGCUCCCAAAUUGCCAUUCAGUCAAUCAAAAGAACAAUGUAUCAGUUCAAAACUACAAAAUUCAAUCUAUUAUGAUAAGUGAACCCUGCUCAAUUACAAUACAAUCUCAUCUCAUACUACCUGGGGUCAGUAACUUGCUAUCAUCUUCUUUCCCGCAGGUGUCUCUAAUAUCAGAAAAUAAUGUUUCUUCCAUUUAUCUCCUUUUUGAAUGCGAAGAAUUAGCAUAAAAGUCCUUAAAAAGUUAUUCAUAAAGAGGUUAACAUAUUUAGUUAACUCUACACUCAUGACUGUAAGCGUUGGUAGAUUUAUUAGUUUCAGAUACUAAAUGAUCCUCAGAUAUCCAUUAAAUAUAGAAGAGAUAAAAAUUCAGACAAAGCCAGCAAUUCUAAAGCCCAAACUGCUAGCCGAAAAAUCGUGGAAUUUUACACAAAUUAUACCAAAACCUCCAAUUCUCUUAGCUAAAUAUAAUAAAUUACCAAAAUUUACGAAACCCACAAUGGGUAUUAGGGCAAAAUAAUUCCCAAGGUCGGUUUUUUUCUUGAAGUGGUUCGAUUAUUAAAGAGGGGAAACAACGAAAGAGAACAAGAUUUCCUAAUGUUGUGCACCAAUUAAGGACGAUAUACUACUACUCCGUUGAAAUGUAGAUAGAAAUUCAGAUUAAUUGAAACAAAAGAAAAAAGAGCGCGAAAGAGAGAGAUUGAGAUAUUGAGAGAAGGAAGAAAGUUGAAGAAAAUAUACCUCCGGUUGCAAGGUUAUUCUCGGUCUGAAGAACCGCGAUACUCUGCAUCUUGGACGCCAUCGUACCUUCUCUUCUAUCUAUCUCCCUGAGAUUAGCUUUCCUUUUUCAGUUCAGAAACUUCUACUGCGGAUUCCGUCUGUAAGUAGUAGAGAGCUACAUUAGAAGAUGUGGCUGGAAUUUGAUGAUGGGGAGGAGAGGGAAAGACAAGUAAAGAGGGGCAGCCAAACAAACGGCUUCCAGAGUCCAAAUCCCAGCUACCAAAGAAAUCACAAACCAGUCUCCUAAAAGCAAUGAAAAAAAUGCUUGCACAACAAAACACAAGAACCAUUAGCAUCAAACAAGUUUUUACAGAGGAGGAGAAAAACAUGAAUACAGAGCAACCUGAAGAGAAGACCCGACCUCACUGGAGAGAAAGAAGAAAGCACAAGAUCUGCAACCAACAGUGAAGAUGGCACGUCCUUGGGCGGUAACAAGCCCGUGGAUGAGAAAAAAAAGAGAAAACUGCACGUCAGUGGACAAGGGACAAAAGAAAUACGAACUUUAGCCAAAAAAAAAAAAACAAAAAAAACAAAAAGAGGGGCAGACCAGAGGUAACCCGAAGAGAAGAUCUGACCUCACCGGAGAUGAAGAAGAAAGCCUAUUACAACAAAACAAAGGAGGAGGUCAACAAAAUUUUGUACCAGGUUCCAGAGGAUGCGGAUAAGUGAUAGAGCAACAUUAUCCCAAAAAAAACCAAAAAAAGAAAGAAAGAGAAUGUAAUGGGAGAGAGAAUGCAGCGGGAAGAGAGCAAAUGCAGCAGAAGAUCAGAAAGACGGAAGCACGGGCACAUGGGACACUGGCAGGCGAGGCCAGAUGGGAAAACUAACGCGCGAUGCGCGAACAACAUGAUGAUUCCAAUCCACAUGCCGGGCACGUGAGAGGACGACGAAAAUUCUGGCUGAAUGGAGUUGCCAUGUUAUCUACUUAUGUUGACUAGGAGGCAAUAACGCGCUUCGCGCGAUAGUAAUGUAAAAUGCCCAUUCCAUUUCUGAAGUAAGAAAAAUAACAUUUCAUUUAGAAAUGUACAUUUUUUAGUAUAUAUAUACCAUGAGUCUGAAGGUUUGUUGAUAUUUCUUGGCUACAAACUUUCAUGGAAGUUGCUAAAUUUCUAAAUUUAAUGGAAGUGCUUUGGAACCUCCAAAGCCUGAAUUUCUAAAUUUUGCUAAACUUCCAAAGUCUGAAAUGCAAAUUUAAAUUUCUAAAUUUUUAAUAGGAACUUCCAAACUCUGAAGUUUUGUUAAUGCAAAUUUAAUGGAGCAUUUUUCUAAAUUUAAUAUAUACCAGCCAUUUGUUUUUUGUAACCAAAGGUAGGAUCAACUUUAUUGCUAAACAUCAAAGUUUAAUAAGUAAUGCCGUUGGAACAUCCAUUAUGAAAGCUUCAAUUGUUGUUUACAACAGUAGGAACUUGCUAAACAUUAAAUUUGCAGUGCUUUGGAAGCAUUUUUCUAACCAGAACUUUUUUCCAUUAAGAACAUAAAUACAACAAAUGCCGUGCAUUGCGUUGAAGCAGAAUCAACGUAAAUCAGAUGUGCCAUCAAAUGGAAAAUGCAAACUGCCAUAGAAACAACUUCUCUAUUCCUUUGCGGUCAAACACCAGCACAACAAAGGGAGUCUUGGAUUGUGGAAUAAAAAGCAAUAUCUGGCCAUUUUUUAGAUCAUGAUCAAUAACAAAACGGUUCCAGUUUUGAUCAAAACAUCUGCCGGUCAUACCAACAUGAUAAUAUUUAUGACUAUUUGUAAGAGUUAUAGUCGUCGUACUAUCUUCAUUUAGCCUUAGAUUCGCAAAUUCUGGUAGAUCCUAUAAAUGUAUGAAAAAAAAUUGUGAUAAGUAAAUACACAUAUGUACAAAAGAAAGAGAGUUAAUAAGGUUAGAGAAUGCAAAACUAUACCAGCUUGUACUUGUACUUUGAUAGAUAAAAUUGAUAGAAGCAAUUGAAUGUAGUCCAGUCAUGUUUUAGGAAUGGAUUCAUAGAUGAGACAAUACGAUGGAGAACUGAUUCUGAGAUUUCAUGAUCUGUUUAUAAAGUAACAAAAGAAACCAUAUCAGCCAUAAUAAAUACCGUCUAAGCAAAAAAUAUAUAUAUAAUGGUAGUAAUAAAUACCGGAUUCUAGGACCUCAUGAAUUGUCCUUAGUCCUUGUAAGGAAGUAAUGGUAGUAAAACAAUCCUUUCAUCACGGCUGUUGCUCUUGUCUUCUCAGCGAAUUUUCGUCUUUGGAGGCCAGAGAAGCUUGAAAUACACAAAGUGAAAUUCAAUAAGACAUUUCACACUAAAAAUGACAUUAGUUGUUUUGUAUAUAAGAAUGACAUUAAUUGUUUUGUAUAUAAGAAGUCAUUUUGUUUUAGACACAUUAACAAUUAUGAUAUACCCAACAUUUUUAUAGGUUAUUAUACCAACGUCAUAAAAAGAAAACCAAGACCUAAAUUGUGGAACUGAUUAUAAAUUAAUUACUGUGGAAAGUAUAUUUAAACUAUUAAUCUAAUCUAGGAUGAACACAAAAAAAUGAAUAAGUAAUGUGCAAAAAAAAGGUGGUCAAAGAAUUUAACUUAUUUCAGAAAUAAUGAACCAAAUAAAGAAUCAAUCUUAGGAAAGCUGUAUGGUCUCGUCUUACAUUAAUUUCAACUUUGUUCUCUAUAUGAUUUCUUGAUUCUUUACCCCAAAGUCUUUUUCUCCCAUCAAGAAUGCUUCAGAAAUUAUAUGAUCAAUACAUACCUAGCUAUUACAGAAUGGCAACAAACUGAAAUGGCAACAACCUAGCUAUUACAGAAUUUCUGUGCUUGAGUCCUCUAACAACUAUAACUACAUAAUACACAUUAACUAAAAAACAUCCAAUGAAACUGCACUCAUAAUCAAACGACAAUGCCUAACAUAGGACAGCAGAUUCCUUCCUCUUUACUGCUUGGCCACAUGAGCAGUCAGUUCAGAAUUCUGCAGCAAAAAAUUAGAAGCAUUCAAAAUCAUUCAAAAUAACCAAUGAAUUCCUAGUCUGCACACACUAUUUAUUCAGUCAAAAGCAUUCAAAAUCAUUCAAGAAGAAUAAGUGUAAUCAUUCAAAACAGCACUCACACAAGUAACUUAUGAAGAUGCCUUUAUACACAACACACCGAAGCAAAAGUAACAUCUCGCAGAAAGAACCAAACACAGAAGAACAUCAUUUACAGGAUAUAAAACAGCAUUUGUCAAAGUCUGAAACAAAAAGAAGUCUCUAAUACAAUUCAUCUUGCUUUAGCAUUCCAAUUGAUCACUUUCAGAAAAAUGAGCUAAAGUAAUAAAUUUCCACGAACAAUAGAAUAAGUUAGUAUAACAAAGAAAUCAUAAUCUCAAAUUCAGAGGCAAAAAACAAAAAAAAAAAAAAAGAACCCUUGUUUUGACAAAUAUAACAAGUAUGAUAAAAAACUGACAAAUGUUGUCAUGGAGCGGAAGACAUUUCAAAUUCAAUUAAGGAAAAAUAACUGGUACAGCCUUUUUUUAUUGUUUCCAUCCCACACAUCAACAUAACCAUCACAACCUCAAGUAGCAAAUGUACCAUAGCUACAAAUCAAAAUCAGUUUUGAGACAGAUUUUGGCAAAAAGCUCAAGGUAUUCAAUCAAUAGAUAAUUGUAAUAGAUCCAACUCAAUCACUCAAUAUAUCUAGAGUUGAUAAAUCAAGCACAUAGGCUUAUAAAUCAUUCAUGGAUACAUUGACAUUAUAAAUCAUUCUCUUUUGUUUGUUCCAUUCCAACUCAAUCAUUGACAUAGCUACCUUAAGAAUACAUGGAUCGGCUCCACUUAUCAAGUUCAAAAAAACAGAUGUUUCCUAAAGACGCAUAGUUAUGAUGAGAAGCUUGAAGGUCGUGAUUGCCUGGGGAAUAUCUAGAGUUGAAAAUUGGAAAUCAGGAAAGAUAAAUUCAGGUUCGAUCGCUUAUUCGUAAGCUGUUAAAGUUUUGAACUGUCCCCAUAAUUGAUUGUUUUUGCCUUGUUUCUGCAAUUAUCUCUCAUAUUUGUUUACAGUAAGCACCAUCACAUCAAGUAAAGAACACUUCUCUUGCACCCUAUAUCAAUCUAACAUGAUUCCAUCUGGUACUGAGACUACCAAAACCCAAGCUCGUAGCCCAAAGAACCUACAACACUUUGUUCACCAUAGCUGAAGACAUACUUGGAACAACUAAGGUACCAUAUACUUUCUUUUUUUUUUCAGUGCAUAGGCAGACACAAACAUAUAUAGUUAUAAUAAAUCACACACACCUCAAACAAAAAAGAAAUGAAUUCUUUCAUAUCUUGAUAAACACUUCAAAUGUAUACUAAUCCUAUGAACAACCAAGUAAAAUGACAUUGAUAUGGUAUGAAGAGACAUACACA